rnacentral:pre_miRNA from 1 species
UUACUAGUCACCUGGGGAUCUUGUUAAAAUGCAGGUUUCUAUUCAGGAGGUCUGGGAUGGGUUCUGAGACUGCAAGUCUAACAAGCUCCCAGGUGAUUCUGAU